UACGUAUGGUGCAAGCGUUAUCCGGAUUUACUGGGUGUAAAGGGAGCGUAGGUGGUUUGCCAAGCCAGAAGUGAAAACCCGGGGCUCAACCCCGCGGAUUGCUUUUGGAACUGGUGGACUGGAGUACAGGAGGGGUAAGCGGAAUUCCCAGUGUAGCGGUGAAAUGCGUAGAUAUUGGGAGGAACACCAGUGGCGAAGGCGGCUUACUGGACUGUAACUGACACUGAGGCUCGAAGGCGUGGGGA
rnacentral:rRNA from 1 species